rnacentral:rRNA from 1 species
CCCUUAGACGUUCUGGGCCGCACGCGCGCUACACUGACCAGUGCAACAAGCAUCCGUCCUUGGCCGACAGGCCCGGGCAAUCUUUGAACGCUGGUCGUGAUGGGGAUAGACUUUUGCAAUUUUUGGUCUUCAACGAGGAAUUCCUCGUAAACGCAAGUCAUCAACUUGCAUUGAUUACGUCCCUGCCCUUUGUACACACCGCCCGUCGCACCUACCGAUUGAAUGGUCCGGUGAAGCCUCCGGAUUGGCGCGCACCUCGGUGCCGCCGAGAAGUUGGCUAAACCUUACCAUUUAGAGGAAGGUGAAGUCGUAACA